UCCAGACUCCUACGGGAGGCAGCAGUGAGGAAUAUUGGUCAAUGGGCGGGAGCCUGAACCAGCCAAGCCGCGUGAAGGAAGAAGGCGCCAAGCGUCGUAAACUUCUUUUGUCGGGGAACAAAGGGCGCCACGUGUGGCGUUGUGAGUGUACCCGAAGAAAAAGCAUCGGCUAACUCCGUGCCAGCAGCCGCGGUAAUACGGAGGAUGCGAGCGUUAUCCGGAUUUAUUGGGUUUAAAGGGUGCGUAGGCGGUCCGGAAAGUCAGCGGUAAAAUUGCGGGGCUCAACCUCGUCGAGCCGUUGAAACUGGGUGCCUUGAGUGGGCGAGAAGUACGCGGAAUGCGUGGUGUAGCGGUGAAAUGCAUAGAUAUCACGCAGAACUCCGAUUGCGAAGGCAGCGUACCGGCGCCCAACUGACGCUGAAGCACGAAGGCGUGGGUAUCGAACAGGAUUAGAUACCCCGGUA
rnacentral:rRNA from 1 species